GACGAACGCUGGCGGCGUGCUUAACACAUGCAAGUCGUACGGUAAGGCCCUUUCGGGGGUACACGAGUGGCGAACGGGUGCGUAACACGUGAGUAACCUGCCCACAACUUUGGGAUAACGCUAGGAAACUGGUGCUAAUACUGGAUAUGUGCCCCUGCUGCAUGGUGGGGGUUGGAAAGCUCCGGCGGUUGUGGAUGGACUCGCGGCCUAUCAGCUUGUUGGUGGGGUAGUGGCCUACCAAGGCGGCGACGGGUAGCCGGCCUGAGAGGGUGACCGGCCACAUUGGGACUGAGAUACGGCCCAGACUCCUACGGGAGGCAGCAGUGGGGAAUAUUGCACAAUGGGCGCAAGCCUGAUGCAGCAACGCCGCGUGCGGGAUGACGGCCUUCGGGUUGUAAAUCGCUUUCAGCAGGGACGAAGCUUUUUGUGACGGUACCUGCAGAAGAAGCACCGGCUAACUACGUG
rnacentral:rRNA from 1 species